rnacentral:rRNA from 1 species
UUUCUUUGGAGAGUUUGAUCCUGGCUCAGGACGAACGCUGGCGGCGUGCCUAAUACAUGCA